GGUCCGUCCUUCGUCUCUCGCUCUCUCUCCUCUCUCUCUCUUCUCUCUCUCCUCCUCUCUCUCUUCUCUCUCUCCUCCUCUCUCUCUCUCUCUGCCUCUCCCUGCUCUUUGUCUCUCUCUUAUCUCUCCCCUCUGUCUCCCUCUGUCCUCGGUGUCUCUCUCGCAUCCUCCUCUGUCUCCGCCCCACCUCACGGCACACGUACUCACACCUGCCCCAGACCUUUCCCUCUCCUGAGCUCCCUUUGUCUUGGUCCCUCUCCCGUUGCCUGGUAACAGCCCUCCCCUUCACCAGCUCCGCGGAAACCAUAGCAACGGGCAGCCGGAAGAUGCGGCCAUUCCUCUCCCUUUUGUCCAUUGCAUUUCAGCAGCGCCCGCGCACGUGGACGCUCCAAUUACAGGAAGGAGGUGGAACAGCUGUGCGCACAUCUGCCAGAGGAGCUCUUUAAAGAGCAGAGAGGAUGCUAUUUUCCUACCAGCAGUAGCAGCAGCAGGGCAAG
rnacentral:lncRNA from 1 species